UGCAAACCCCCAGGAUCUCAGGGUCUGCCUCCUGGAGACCACGAGCUUCGGCAAGAAGUGGGCUGAGCCUAUAAAGACAUCAACCUCCAGGAGGCUCGAGGUACAAAGGGCUCCUGUACAUCCACCUCCUCUGAACUCACAGCACUCUAGUCAGGUAAGCAGGGCUUACCACCAGUCUCAUUAGGCCAAGGAAGAAACUGAGGCCCAAGGCAGGGUGGGGGUGUGGCCUUGGGAAGCAGGUCUUGGUCAAGUCAGGGUUGAUGGCAGUACACAGAGCUCUGGCUCCAGUGUGAGUUUUCCUUGGCCCAAUAUGGGGCCUCCUGUCUCUCUUUUGGAUGAACCCCUGGCCACCUCUGUCUGGCCCACCAAACACCACCUUGGCCAACCUUGCAUCUCUCCUACAGCCCAUUGCUUUAAGAGGCCUGGAGACUCAGCUUUUUGACCUGCUUUGCUAUGAGCAUUGAGGGGCUGCUCUGGGGGGGUCCCUUUCUGCUCUGUGCCAACUCCCACUCUCUUUCUUCCCUUCCUGAGCUGUCCCCUGCCCUGUGGAUGCUCAAGAUCAUGGGUGAAGACAACACGUACACGUUGGACAAGUAUGGAGUGAAGUAAGUUGCUCUGAGAAUGGCUUCUGGGGCCUCCUUCAAGUGUUGUGGGAGAGGUGGAGCCACUACUGGCCAGGGUCAGCUACAUAACUUGCAAAAUGAAAACAUGGGUCCCUUGGCUCAAAAAUUAUUAAGAAAUUCAAGCCCUCAGAAGUCAGAGAGAUUGGAAGAAAGAGAAAGACUCCACUGGCAAUUGAUGGCUUUGAAGAUGGAGAAAGAUGAGCCAAAGCCUGGGGACAGCCUCUAGAAGCUGAGAACAACGGCAGCCACCAGCAGACAAGGGAUUCACGACCUCAGUCCCACAAGCACAGAGGACCAAAUUCUGCCAACAAGCUGAAUGAGCUUGGAAGUAAUUCUCCCCCAGAGGCUCUCAAAAGGAAUCCAGCCCUGCCGUCUUAGCUGGGCCUUGUGAACACAGAGCAGAGGAACCCAUCAAGCCUCCUGGCAUCUGACCUACAGAGCUGCCAGGGUAAAGUUUCCCUUUGCAUGCCUUAGAAGAAAAGAAUGUUGGCUCCAGGAAACCUCUCUGAGCAGUGAUGACAUCACAGAAUGGAGUGAGGUCAGGAGAGACGAGCAAUCACCAAACUCACCCAAAAAGACCGUGGGGAAGAGUGGCUCCCAUCGCAGGACACCGCUCAGUUUCAUCAGCAACAGCAGACUCAAGCUGUGUGUUCUUGUACUGAUUCUCUUCCCUACAGUUUUCACUGCCUCAGCAGCACAGACAGGAUGGCACAGUGCGGAGCUUGGGGAGGGCAUCAACACGCUGGCAGGAAAGUCCACCAAAACGGAGAAUGAGAAAGGAGCACUGGCCCACUCUGAACUGCAUCCCCUGUCAGAUGGAACAAGGCUGGCAGCUUUAAUCACCAUCACUUCUGCAAGCCCUUCAGGGUGAAAUUUAAAAGGACACAAACACAGCUUUUUCUUGACUAAAAGACUGUCGAGUGACUUAAAUUUCUCACGCCAUUUUAUACACUGUGUUUUAUUUUUUUUCAUUGCUCUUAUGCAUUUUAUUUAUUUAUUUAUUGUUUUUGUUCCAAAGACUAGUUUUAUUUAUUUUUCACAUGUCCACAUUUCUGUAUGUGAUAGUCCUUUCCUUUUCUUUUUAAAAAAAUAUUUAUUUAUUAACAUCUUUAUUGGAGUAUAAUUGCUUUACAAUGGUGUGUUAGUUUCUGCUGUAUAACAAAGUGAAUCAGCUAUACAUAUACACAUAUCCCCAUAUCUCCUCCCUCUUGCAUCUCCCUCCCAUCCUCCCUAUCCCACCCCUCUAGGUAGUCACAAAGCACCGAGCUGAUCUCCCUGUACUAUGCGGCUGCUUACACUGUGUUUUAAUGUUAGGUAGUUUUACUUGCUUUCGUUUUGAUCAGGGUUUAUGUGUUUGUUUAUAUUUUGCACUUGUUAAUAUGAGACAUCCGCGGGAUGGUUCUCACAGGUAAACUAAAUCUUUUCACUGUCCUUCUCGCUCUGUACAUGUAUGUAUUUCUAGCCCCCAAGCAUGGUCAUCAGUGAGUUCUGUCUCUAUAUGCUGUCAGUUUCUAUUACAGGAAGGACUGCUAUGACCUCAUGGUACAGCAAACAAGAUCAACAACAACAAAGUCAUAAAUAAUGAAAAAGACAGAAAAAAAGAAAACAUCAAAAAAUAAAAACAAAAACUUCCCUAACUCUCCCUCCUACCAUGGAACCGACUCUUUCCUGGCCCUUCCUCUCCUUGCCCUCUUCUCUCCCCAAGCAGGGCACACUUCUUACCUCUGUGUGUGGAGCCACAGAAAGUGGCUGGAAGGACAGAAGCUCUAAGAAACUCCUCUCUCUGAAAUGGAGCAGGACCCUAUGAUCCUUGCCCCCCAUGUCCUCAGUCUGCCUUUUGUCUGUAGAAAACUUUAGCCAAAGAAUAAGUUUGACCAGAGAAGUGAAAAAAUGCAGGAGCAAAGAAAAGCAGUCAAACAGAACAAAACAAUAA